GUUAAGCACUCUAAGAGGAGGAGCUUACUCUAGAGAGAGAGAAGGAGGUUCGACAAGAAGGCGGGAAGAAAGCGGCGAAGAAGCGGCGGAGAACGAGCCUCGUCGGAGUUGCGGGUCUUCGCCGGAAUUCGCCAAAAUCAGUCAGUAAAAAGGCUAGAAACCUAGGCCGUUUGCUAUAAAUUAUAUCGUCGAAGAGAUAACUCAACAAGGUUCGACGAGCGGCUCUAAAGGAAAGGAGGUAGCUGAAGAAUAAGUUUAAUUUGCUGUCUAUAGCAUGUUUAGAAUAUUUUCAUUUAUAUGCGAACCUAUGUAUGUCUUGGAUAUGUUUAAGACGUUCAGUUAUAUCUUGCGAGAGAUGAUGUCCAUGUAAUUCAUUUUGUAAACGUCUUGAACAAUUUUAUGAUAAAUAAAGUAUUAUGGUUGUGAACCAUAUCAGGUUCGAUCUAUC